rfam:Anolis carolinensis unplaced genomic scaffold chrTn0149, whole genome shotgun sequence.
GGAGGUUGUGGUGGUCUACUUUUAUAUCUGUCUUCCCACUGGUUUGACUGAUUUGGCUGGCUAAGUGGGUCUCUCCUUCCUUCCUCACCACUCCAUGUGCUUCUCUCCUCAAACGGCCUGCUGUAUAGAAUAGGACAACCAUCCCAGUUUGCAGAAGUGUCCUGUAUAGUCAAUGUUCGGGGACCCAAAUUGAUUAUUUUUUAUAUGACCUAUGGACAAGUUAAGGGCCACUCAACUGAGAAAGGAAAGAACCACUAGCCACUACUGCCAUUUUUUACACUCAGGCAUUCAAAAUGGCCUUUUGCCAGUCU